rnacentral:rRNA from 1 species
UACGUAGGGUGCGAGCGUUGUCCGGAAUUAUUGGGCGUAAAGAGCUCGUAGGCGGUGUGUCACGUCGGCCGUGAAAACCUGCAGCUUAACUGUGGGCGUGCGGUCGAUACGGGCAUCACUGGAGUUCGGCAGGGGAGACUGGAAUUCCUGGUGUAGCGGUGAAAUGCGCAGAUAUCAGGAGGAACACCGGUGGCGAAGGCGCCGCUCUGGGCCGAAACUGACGCUGAGGAGCGAAAGCGUGGGGAGCGAACAGG